CUCGCACCACCUUCGUGGUGACACCCUUUCCCAACAGAGUAUGGACUUUCACAGACCACAGCCUCCACUGAAGACGAGCUCCCAGGGAAAACAACUCUGAGCAGAAAACACAAAAGGGAGUUUGCAUCCCAAGGCCCAGACUGAAGCUCUAAAAGAGACCUUGGAAAGAGAGGAGAGAGAUCAUCUAGAGAAACCUCCCAAAAAUAAGGCAUACCAUCCCUCUGAUGGUUGAAACACACUUAGUUCUGGGCAGAAUAAAUGAAAACAAAUUCAUACCUCGAUAUAUUGCAGUGAAUUUUCUGAACUUCAAAAACAAUGAGAAAAUCUUAAAAGUCACUGAGAUAAAUGACAGAUUGAGGAAAGGAAGCAGGCGGGCAGCUGGUGGUCUUCCAAGCACUAUAGCUGAUCAGCAACCAGAGAUUCCAGAGAAACAUGGAAUGAUACCUUAAAGUGCUGAGGCUAACUAACUGCUGAGCACAAAGGAUAUUUUUUCAGGCACACACAGGGAUUCUGAAAGUGUAAACACGAGUCC
rnacentral:lncRNA from 1 species